UUCAGGGCUUCCCUCUUUUGAAGAAGAUUGGUACAGCUAAGUUGUCCAAUGGUCUAUACAUUCUGCAGAGACCAGCCAAUUCUGCUUCACAUCCCACUCCAGCGAGUGCUUUCAUUACAGAGAAAUAUCAAUCUCUGAUCACAGCAGCAGUCCCUGCUAGUUCAAAACAUUUAGCAUUCACUUUUUCUCGUGUAAAGCACAUCAUAGAUCCCUGGCAUUAUCGCCUUGGACAUGUAGGCAACAAAUGCUUGCAAGUAUUAUCACAAAAUAAUGAUACAAUACAAAUUCAACGAGAAUUU
rnacentral:lncRNA from 1 species